AUUUAUUAAUAUAAGAAAGCAAAUCCGCUGAACUUAAGCAUAUUAUUAAGCGGAAGAAAAGAAAAUAACAAUGAUUCUUUUAGUAACGGCGAGUGAACAAAGAAAAGCUCAACAUGGAAAAUCCGACAGAUAGCUACCCGCGAUUUGUCGGAAUUGUCAAGUUGAAAAACAUUCCAAGAGUUCUUUUUUAUAAUAUGACAAUGAGAAGAAGUAGAUAGAAAUGUCUCUCCUUAGAGGGUGAAAGACCCGUAUUCUUAAUCAUAAAACUGAUCAAUUGGAAUGUUUUGUUUUUGAGUCGUGUUCUUUGAGACUGGAGCACUAAUUAGUGUGAUACAUUUCACAUAAAGCUAAAUAUUUGUAAGAAACCGAUAGUAAACAAGUACCGUGAGGGAAAGAUGAAAUAGUACUCAGGAAUGAGCAAUUAAAUAGUACCUGAAAUCGUUAAGAUGGAACGGAUUAAAAAAGGAAAAAAGUAACAACAUAGUUAAAAUGAGAGAUUUUGGUGCGCGCAAUAAAGAAUGGAGUCCUUAAAAAAGGAUGUAGAUAUUCAAGUAUCAAAACAAAAUUUUUCUUUUUUUAAAAAGAAAUUUUUUGAAGCUUUUGUUAUAAUAUUCAUUUUUAUUCUUAUCCUUUUUUUUAGGUAAGAUAAAAAUGAUACAAAAGUUGUCUUUCAUACUAUAUAUAUAUAUAUAUAUAUAUAUAAAUAUUAUGUUCUUAUUAAAAGAAACAUGAGUGAAUGAAAAUAAAUAAUCGUGGAGCAAAAAUAAACACAAUAACAAGAAAAAAAAAUAAAAAAAAUAAAAUAAAAUAAUUAAAAUAAAAAUAAAACAAAAAGAAACAAAAAAAAGCAAAAUAUAAAAUAAAAGAAUUAAUUGAAUUUAAUUUCAUUUUAUUUUUUUCCUUUUAUAUUUUGCUUUUUUAUUUUGUUUUAUUUUUAUUUUAAUUAUUAUUUUUUUUUUUUUUUUUUUUUUCCCUUAUUGACUAUUUUUCUAAGCUAAUGUGGAAAAAUAUAACUUGCUUCUUUUUUUUUUUUUCUUUUCUGAAGGGAGAAAAAAAAGAAAAAUAUGAAAGAUACAUUUAUUUAAUUUACUGAGGAUUGUGAAAAUUAUAUUAAUUGUAUAUGAUGCGAAAUAAUAUAAUUAAGAUGUUUUUAUAAAGUACUUUUUUAACCCACUCGUCUUGAAACACGGACCAAGGAGUCUAACAAAUGUGCAAGUGUAUAUGAUAAGAAUAAACAUAGUAUAAAAAUUUCUACGCAUAAUUAAUGUAACAAAAAUAUAUGUUUAUUAAUUGUAGAUUUUGUGGGGUUUUAAAUUUUUUUUAUAAAUCCACACAAAUGCAUACAAUACCGGUGAGCAAUUAUGCUUUAUUGAGUAAGAGCAUACUUGUUAGGACCCGAGAGGCUUUGAACUAAACGUGAUGAGAUUGAAGUCAGAGUAAAAUCUGAUGGAGGAUCGAGUUGAUACUGACGUGCAAAUCGUUCAUUUCAAUUGCGUUUAGGGGCGAAAGACUAAUCGAAAAGCCUAUUAGCUGGUUAUUUUCGAAAGAUCUCUCAGGAUCGCUGGAGUUGAUUAUAAUAUAGUUUUACCUGGUAGAAAUAAUGAUUAGAGGAUUCAAGGAGAUGAUAAUUCCUUGACCUAUAUAUAUCGAAAGAUUCAAUAGGUAAAAAAAUGAGGAAAUAACUUUAUUGUAUUUUCAUUCAUAUUUAAAAAUAAGAUAACUCCAAGUUGGCCAUUUUUGGUAAGCAGAACUGGCGAUGAGGGAUGCUCCUAACGCUUGGAUAAGGUGCCUAAAUAUCCGCUCAUUAGAUACCAUUAAAAAGGUGUUGGUUUGUGAUUACAGUAGGACGGUAUUCAUAGAAGUUGAAAUCCGCUAGGAAGUGUGUAACAACUUACCUACCUAAUAAACUCGCCCUGAAAAUGGAUGGCGCUAAAGCGGAUUACCGAUACCAAGCCAUAAAAAAAAAAAAAAAAAAAAAUUCAAUAUUUUUUUUAUUUUUUUAGAUUCUUUUUAUGAGUAGAAAAUCGUGGGGUUUUGUGUUGAAGCGAAAUACGUGAGUUUUCGUGGAACAUCUCCCUAGUGCAGAUCUUGGUGGAAGUAGCAAAUAUUCUUAUGAGAACUUUGAAGACUGAAGUGGAGAAGGGUUUUUUGUAAACUAUGUUUGAGCAAAAGUUAGCCGUUCCUAAGAGAUAGCUGAAAAGCGUUAUAAAUUGAGGUUACCUAUUAUAUGAAAAGUAUAGUAGUGUUUUUUCUCUUCUCGAAAGGGAAGCAGGUUGAUAUUCCUGCGCCAUAUGUAAUAAGAACUAAUAAAUAGAGAUGGUAACAUAUAUAUAAAUAAAUGAACUCCUUAACAUAGGCCUUACGCUUGGAGUGCGUUAUCUUUGCACUUUAACUUUAUAUCAAACCUUCGAAAUCGAUUUACUUGUAGAAAAGGUUCGAUGAAUUUACAAUAAGCAAUUUAUUUAUUAUAUGCGUGGACCGGUACACAUGAUAUAUAUAUUAAUGAAUUGUUUUGUAGUAAUAGUAAUUCGUUUGUUGUACGAAUUAUCCAAAGUUGUAUGGACUAUCCAUGAAAAAAGGAGGGAACACUAAAUUAAAUGGGAAUGUAUAAAAUACUAUAAAAGUAUGAAAGAAGAAAAAGUAAAGAAAGGAAAGAAAAAAAAAUAUUAACCUUCAGCUUUUUUUUCUAUUUUUUUUUUCUUUUUUUGCUUUCAUAUAUUUUUAUAGUGUUUUUACAUUAACCAUUUUUUUUUUUAUAUUCUUAAAUUACAAUUAUAAAAAUGAACGUACCAAUAACCGCAUCAGGUCUCCAAGGUUAGUAGCCUCUGGUUAAAUAGAAAAACGUAGGUAAGGGAAGUAAGCAAAUUAGAUCCGUAACUUCGGGAAAAGGAUUGGCUCUGAUAACACAAAAUGAGAAGAAAAAAAUGAAAAGAAAAAAAUGAAAAGAAUUGUGGUUGAAAAUAAAAAUGUUAAGAUGUUUAUUUAUAUAUUUAUAUUAGUUUUUCUUAUAUUUUAAGAUUAAUUAAUUAAUUAUAUAUUUAAUAUGUUAAAAUGUUUUAUAUUUCUUCUUCUACUCUAUUCUAUUCCAUUCUAUUCUAUUCUAUUUUUUUUUUUCUCUUUCUCUUCGAUAUUACAUAUAUUUUGUUAUUAUAAUAAAAAUUAUGUAAUAUUGUUUAGCUGUGUUUAUUCAGAACUGAAACGGACAAGGGGAAUCCGACUGUUUAAUAAAAACAUAGCAUUGUGAAAAGCUAUAACUGGUAUUAACACAAUGUGAUUUCUGCCCAGUGCUUUGAAUGUCAAGUUGAUGAAAAUUUCAAUUAAGCGCAGGUAAACGGCGGGAGUAACUAUUAUGACUCUCUUAAGGUAGCCAAAAAUGUAUGGUCGAUAAAAAGGACCAUCAGGAAUGGAUUAACGAGAUUCCUACUGUCCCUACUUGCGAUCUAGCGAAACCACAACCAAGGGAAAGGGCUUGGUAAAAUCAGCAGGGAAAGAAGACCCUGUUGUGCUUUACUCUAGUCUGACUUUGUAAAAAGAUUUAAGAGGUAUAGUAUAAGUGGUAGUAGAAAUUGAAAUAAUGUUUUUACGUCAGUGAAAUACCACUACUUUUAAAAAGUUUUUACUAAUCCAUUUAUCUAGUGAAUGACUAUUAUAUAAAUAUAUAUAUAUAUAUAUAUUUUCUAUAUUUUAUGUGUAUCACUUUUUAUGGAGACAGAGUCAGGUGGGGAGUUUGACUAAGGUGGUACAUCUGUUAAAAAAUAACGCAGAUGUCCAAAGAUAAGCUCAAGGAGAACAGAAAUCUCUUGUAGACUAAAAGGGGAAAAGCUUGUUUGAUUUCUAUUUUCAGAAAGAAUAGAAAACGUGAAAACGUGGCCUAUCGAUCCUUUAUAUUUGCAAAAUGACGUAAAAUUAUUUACUACUGUGCAUAUAAAGGUGUCUGAAAAGUUACCACAGGGAUAACUUGUUUGUGGCUGCUUAGCGAUAUUAGCAACGUGGCUUUUUGUAUUUUCGAUUACGGCUCUUCCUAUCAUUGGGACGCAGAAGUCUCAAAGUGUCGGAUUGUUCACCCGCUAAUAGGGAACGUGAGCUGGGUUUAGACCGUCGUGAGACAGGUUAGUUUUACCCUACUGAUGAAUAUUAUUAUAUUAUUAUAUAUAUAUAUAGUAUUGUGACAGUAAUCCAACUUGGUACGAGAGGAUUAGUUGGUUCAGACAAUUGGUACAGCAAUUGGGUUGAUAAACCAGUGUUGCGAAGCUACGUCUGUUGGAUAAUGACUGAACGAUUCUAAAGUCAGAACCCAUACUGAUUAAACAAUAAUAUAAUUGUAUAUUUUUGUUAUAAGGUUGUGUUUUAUUUUUUUUUAUUGCUAAUGUAAAAGAGAAAUUUAAUAUAUGCGUUAAUCUAUAUAUAUUAUGUAUAGAUUUUCAUAAACAUAUAAAUAAUCCCAUAAAGACGUAUCUUUUUUUUUUCUAAACAAAGAAAAAUAUGUUCUUUUUAUUGUAAUUUAACAACAAAAAUAAUCUAAAGUAUAUUGUAGACGACAUUUUUAGCCUCAGAGUGCUGUAAACAUGUGAGCAAACUUGUUUUGCGAACUGUUCAGGCUUAUCUCUUGUGGUUUUUACUUUU
rnacentral:rRNA from 1 species